rnacentral:rRNA from 1 species
GGCGGCGUGCUUAACACAUGCAAGUCGAACGCUGAAGCUUGGUGCUUGCACUGGGUGGAUGAGUGGCGAACGGGUGAGUAAUACGUGAGUAACCUGCCCUUGACUCUGGGAUAAGCCUGGGAAACUGGGUCUAAUACUGGAUACGACAUGUCACGCAUGGUGGUGUGUGGAAAGGGUUUUACUGGUUUUGGAUGGGCUCACGGCCUAUCAGCUUGUUGGUGGGGUAAUGGCUCACCAAGGCGACGACGGGUAGCCGGCCUGAGAGGGUGACCGGCCACACUGGGACUGAGACACGGCCCAGACUCCUACGGGAGGCAGCAGUGGGGAAUAUUGCACAAUGGGCGAAAGCCUGAUGCAGCGACGCCGCGUGAGGGAUGACGGCCUUCGGGUUGUAAACCUCUUUCAGCACGGAAGAAGCGAAAGUGACGGUACGUGCAGAAGAAGCGCCGGCUAACUACGUGCCAGCAGCCGCGGUAAU